rnacentral:rRNA from 1 species
UACGUAGGGUGCAAGCGUUGUCCGGAAUUAUUGGGCGUAAAGAGCUCGUAGGCGGUUUGUCGCGUCGGCUGUGAAAGCCCGGAGCUCAACUCCGGGUCUGCAGUCGAUACGGGCAGACUUGAGUGUUGCAGGGGAGACUGGAAUUCCUGGUGUAGCGGUGAAAUGCGCAGAUAUCAGGAGGAACACCGGUGGCGAAGGCGGGGUCUCUGGGCAACAACUGACGCUGAGGAGCGAAAGCGUGGGGAGCGAACAGG